UUGUUAUCGCGCUCAGUGGUCCGUCGGUUGCCUUCCUCAUAAGUAGACUCGACGUGCAUUGCGCGUAGUGAUGCUUUGGAUGGCCUAACCUUUGUGUAUCAGCUGGCGCAUGAGAUGUGUUGGACCUGUGACUGCCGGGUGGCCCCCCGCCAUUGUGCGGCUGACUCUCGGCGCCUGUGUCCCUUCAGUGGUGUGGGCACCAUGCCCGAUCCUUACGAGUGCUUGCGUGCUGCUACCCGUUCCUCGGGAAGUUGCAUUCCCUACAUGUUGCCUUCGCUGCGUCCACCCUUUGGGUGUGAUGUGUCGGCCUUAUAGCAAUUGGCGUUGCCUCGUGGAAAUGGUCUCAGUGGCCAAGCCCACCAAGGCUACCUCGCUUGUGCUAUUGGUCUCGGAUGACGCUAACAAUAUAGGAUGAGGCUGCUUCGGCUCCUCUUUCCUCUCAAAGUUGGAAACUCUGAAUCAACGACAGUCGACCCGGUUGAUGCCUAGUGCAGA
rnacentral:misc_RNA from 1 species